rnacentral:rRNA from 1 species
AAAAAUAGUAACUUUACCCCGGCCCCCAACCCCCAAUGUCAUUCAACAAAAAGUUCUUCUCAGUCGGAAGUUAAGCAGGGUCGGGCCUGGUUAGUGCUUGGAUGGGAGACCACCUAGGAAGACCAGGUGCUGUAGGCA